UGAGCGUGUAAGGCGAAGAAAACAAGAAAAGAUACCUAUUUACACAGUGCUGUAAGGGAAAAACGUCGAUACCGACAUGGUCAGUAGUGAGCCGUGUCAGUUUGGUUCAUAAUUACGUAACUGGUUCCUCAUACAGGCAGGUCGGAUGAGCACGGGCCCUGGCUUUGUGUAUGGGAUAUAUGACAUUUCAUCAUUGCCGUAGUGCUAAUACUCGGAGCAGAAAACACUUUACCCAUCGUGUUUUGGACUCGCACACACCUUUGAAUGCACAUCUCCUCGCUUACACAUCAUGGUCAAACCCCUGGGAAACACCUGCUCUUUCUUCACAGCGGGGCCGCACAGCGGUGCGGUCGCCUUCAGGCUGCUUUCGAAGACAUGCGGGCAGAAGGAAACUGAGAGUCCGGCCAGAAGCUGAGCGAGUGAGAGUUUGAGCCGGAAUGGGAUUGUGAGAAGGGCUUAUAUAGUGUGGCUAUUUUUAACCCACUCCUCUCGCCUAUCACAGGCCUUCCUCUCUAGAGUGCUCAGGAAGCAAGCCUGGCUCUGUUUCCUGCUCAAACGCGGGUCCAUUCAAAGCCAAUCAGGACAUGCACUGACUCAAAUGAGAAAAAGAAUGAAAAGUGUUGCACAUAUUUGUGCGUGUACCUUUUAACGGUGGAAAGGAUUUCCUUACAGGGAAAUUGACAUGCAGUUUAGUGAUGUCAGCCAUUUUCUGUUUUGUUUUUUUUUGUUUUGUUUUUUUUUGUGUGUGUGUGUUUUGUAACGUUACACAUCUUGUUUGAAGGUUAACUAUGCCAAAAACCGGCAAGGGCCAUGAUGCUGCUGUGAGCUGUGUUUACAUGCUGACGGCUUCGCUACUUAAAACUAUUGAGCAAACUUUGUUAUAGCGUACUAAAGACAAAGUGCACAAGUGUGAUAAAGACAGCUUCAUAAAUGGAACUCAUCAUUCUGAGAAGUCGUCUAACUUGGCAGCCCAAGACUAAUUACACUAGCAAGGGCUCUUUUUUCUUUUUGGAGAGCAUAUGGAUUUAAUUGGUUUGGCAAGACACAUGGGAGGCAAGCAAUUUAUUAGCUGUUAACACAUGAAAUGAUGCAGAUCUUGCUCUCUGAGCGUACAAACCAUAAUUGCUAGCUGAGAAGUAUGUUUGCAUUGUCAUUAAAAGAGAGAAAAAGUGAAAAUAAAGACUAUUAGAACGUUAUUUAAGAAAAAAACACAGGCCAAGGCCUGAGUGUAUUGCUGCCGAAUGGUAUGGAAACCAGUUUGAUCCUUUUACACCACUGAAAAAUGACUGCAGUUAAAUUGGUCUUCAUUCAGUUAAACUGACCCUGGGGUAGUGAAAGGGAGAAAGAUCUCAUUUCACAAGUCAAAGCUGUCAUCACAUUGUGACGGAAAGUUGACAUGGGAGAAUUGAAUUGAAGUCACGUAAUUUGCUGGGUAAUCCCAAAACUAGUUGGAGUCACCUUUAAGAUGAUACCAUGAGAACAUUACUGAGCAAGGAGUGAUGAAUCCAAAGUGGUGGAUUGAGAAAUUAUAAGCCUGGCUUGAAAUGUUUUGGAGUUUAACCUGGCAGGGUUUGUGUAAUUUCAACAUUUCUCCAUUUUCUCUGUUAUAAGUCUUAAAACCACAGGAAUUGCCUGUGGGGAUCUGCCAAGAACCAGUUCCUUAUUUAUGCAGGAGUGGGAAUUACACGCACGCACGCACGCACACACACACACACACACACACAGACACACACACAC